UGGGGAAUAUUGGACAAUGGGCGAAAGCCUGAUCCAGCAAUGCCGCGUGAGUGAUGAAGGCCCUAGGGUUGUAAAGCUCUUUCGGCGGGGACGAUAAUGACGGUACCCGCAGAAGAAGCCCCGGCUAACUUCGUGCCAGCAGCCGCGGUAAU
rnacentral:rRNA from 1 species